rnacentral:rRNA from 1 species
GAUCAUGGCUCAGGAUGAACGCUGACAGAAUGCUUAACACAUGCAAGUCUACUUGAACUUUGGUUUGGGUGGCGGACGGGUGAGUAACGCGUAAAGAACUUGCCUCACAGUUAGGGACAACAUUUGGAAACGAAUGCUAAUACCUGAUAUUAUGAUUUUAGGGCAUCCUAAGAUUAUGAAAGCCAUAUGCGCUGUGAGAGAGCUUUGCGUCCCAUUAGCUAGUUGGAGAGG